GACGAACGCUGGCGGCGUGCUUAACACAUGCAAGUCGAACGGAAAGGCCCUGCUUUUGUGGGGUGCUCGAGUGGCGAACGGGUGAGUAACACGUGAGUAACCUGCCCUUGACUUUGGGAUAACUUCAGGAAACUGGGGCUAAUACCGGAUAGGAGCUCCUGCUGCAUGGUGGGGGUUGGAAAGUUUCGGCGGUUGGGGAUGGACUCGCGGCUUAUCAGCUUGUUGGUGGGGUAGUGGCUUACCAAGGCUUUGACGGGUAGCCGGCCUGAGAGGGUGACCGGCCACAUUGCGCCUGAGCUACGGCCCAGACUCCUACGGGAGGCAGCAGUGGGGAAUAUUGCACAAUGGGCGGAAGCCUGAUGCAGCAACGCCGCGUGCGGGAUGACGGCCUUCGGGUUGUAAACCGCUUUCGCCUGUGACGAAGCGUGAGUGACGGUAAUGGGUAAAGAAGCACCGGCUAACUACGUG
rnacentral:rRNA from 1 species